CCUGAACAAAGAGAAAAAGGCGACAUGCAAAGAUCUGCUUGGGAAGAGUGUGCAUGUGCAAAGGCCCUGGGGUAUGAAAAGGUGUGGCACGUUUGGGGAAGGGAAAGAAGGCUGGAGUGUUUGGAGGUGGGAGAAGGAGAUCAGAGAGCCGGGCAGAGGCCAGAUCACAAAGGCCUCAUUAUGACCUGUCAUGGCAAGAAGUUUGAAGGUCUCCUCAAUCCAGUGAGAAGCCACUAAAGGGCUUGAAGCAGCAGAGGAUUCAAUUUACGUUUUUAAAAGAUUGGUCUGGCUGCUGUUUGGAAACGUAUCUUUGAGAGAAAAGCCAAGACACAAGGAGACAAAUACCACUGAUGAACAGGGCUUUGCUCCAGGUGGCAGCUGUAGGUCUGAGACGAAGUUGAAAGUCAAGUCCCAUAGGACCAGAGGACCGGCUGUGAGCUGGAUGUGCAGUGUAAGGGAGGGCCAGGAGGCAAGAUGGACGCUUGAGUUUCUGGGUUAAGCCAAAUGUCGAUGUUCUCUGCCGAAGUGGGAAAGUUGGAGAGAAGCAAUUUCAUCCGAGGCGAGACACGAAUCGAGAGCUCCCCCACCAGGAACUGUCCGUUGUAAUGUCCUGCCACCCUCCACGAUGCCUCAGUGCUCAGGACCCCUGCCGCACCUUGGCUCCUGCCAGCCUCUGCCUAGACGCUCCUCCUUUGUCCUCAUUUCCUUUCUAAAACCUACCCUGUGUCUUCCUUCCUCCUUCUGACAUCUGGGACUUAAGAUCACCCAACCCGAUUACCCAUUACCACUCCAUUAUAUCUGCUUCUCUAUUGUUUGCUAAUUGGUGUACCUAGAAAGUGUAUCUCCUGGCGAGGCAGUAACCGUGGUCAUUUUUCUCUUUCGAUGAGAAAGAGAAAUUGCAGGUCACUUUGCCUGCAAUUAAGGGUCUGUGAGGCGGAGGAAUGAUUUGUGAUAUCUUGCUCAUGGCCUCCUGGCCCCAAAACCGUGACUUUGUGCCGACUUGGGCAGGGGGAAAAUGGGAGAGAGUAUCAUACUUUUUGCCUCAAUCAUCCUUUUAAAAAAACCCCAACUUAUAAAGCUGGAGAUGAUAGAAAGCCUGAAAAGAGGUAGUGUUACGGAUUGUGCUUCUACAGACGUAGACACCUGUAUACAAUCUGAUUCUUUUUGUGUUCCUUCAUGACUGAUUUUAAUACUACGUUCCAGGUCCUAACCCUGCUGAAGUAUUCUCUCCCUCAGCAUAGAGUCGGCUGUCCUUUCCAGAGAGCUUGUUGCUAAAGGAAAUUUCCAGUGGAUUCUCGGUCCCUUCUCCUCUGGGCUACCAAAGUCAUCGCUUUCCACAGGGCAGACUGGGAAGUAGGGUGUUUGAUGCUGGGACAGACAAGGAAGAAAAGGGAAACGUAUGAUAUGCUGGCUGCUUUGUGCACCUUGUCCUUAAUACAACGGCUUUGCAAUGCUCUUGAGGUCACACGUGGAGCCAUCCGGCAUACAGACUUUGGAGUCAGAGAACCGAGUCUGCGUGACCUUGGAAAAGUCACUGGCAUUUUCUGAUCGCCAUUCUUCAUGUUUAAAGUGUUGAUGAUCAGAGGAGCACCUACUUCCUGGGCUGGUCAAAGAGUUCUGGGAGAUCCCACACAGAGAGCACUCAACACAGUGCUCGGCACACACAAAGCACUAGCUAACCAUCAGCGAUCUUUAUGGCCACCACUCUCCUUUGACAUAAGGAGACGGGGCUCCGAGGCCCUGAGUGACUUUGCCCACGGUCACACAGCUGGUAUGCAGCAGAACCCAGGGCUGUCCAGCUUGUGAGCCUACUCUUUGUACUAUGCCAUGUGCAAAGAAUCAAGAUUUCAAAAGAGCGUUGUGGGCUGUAACUGGAAAGUGAAAAAAAAAAAUGCCUUUCAAUAGGGAUCAAUGCAAAGGACUUCAUUAAGGCCACAAAUACUAUUUACUCAAGGACAGUGAUGGACGGACCUGGCUCCAUCACUCUGAAAACACUCGAUGUCUAAGAGCAGCAAGGUUGCAAGCUUAGUGCGAGAGCAGCGUGGCAAUCAGGACAACGCCUGACAUCUUGGGCGGCCUCAGCGUGUCCCGCUCAAGUGGCGGG